rnacentral:rRNA from 1 species
GACGAACGCUGGCGGCGUGCUUAACACAUGCAAGUCGAACGGAAAGGCUCUGCUUUUGUGGGGUGCUCGAGUGGCGAACGGGUGAGUAACACGUGAGUAACCUGCCCUUGACUUUGGGAUAACUUCAGGAAACUGGGGCUAAUACCGGAUAGGAGCUCCUGCUGCAUGGUGGGGGUUGGAAAGUUUCGGCGGGUGGGGAUGGACUCGCGGCUUAUCAGCUUGUUGGUGGGGUAGUGGCUUACCAAGGCUUUGACGGGUAGCCGGCCUGAGAGGGUGACCGGCCACAUUGGGACUGAGAUACGGCCCAGACUCCUACGGGAGGCAGAAGUGGGGAAUAUUGCACAAUGGGCGGAAGCCUGAUGCAGCAACGCCGCGUGCGGGAUGACGGCCUUCGGGUUGUAAACCGCUUUCGCCUGUGACGAAGCGUGAGUGACGGUAAUGGGUAAAGAAGCACCGGCUAACUACGUG